AACGAGGCCGACCUGCGGCUGAGUUACCUGCGGAGGGAUCAUUACCGAGUUUACAACUCCCAAACCCCUGUGAACAUACCUAUACGUUGCCUCGGCGGAUCAGCCCGCGCCCUGUAAAAAGGGACGGCCCGCCCGAGGACCCUAAACUCUGUUUUUAGUGGAACUUCUGAGUAAAACAAACAAAUAAAUCAAAACUUUUAGCAAUGGAUCU
rnacentral:misc_RNA from 1 species